CCUACGGGAGGCAGCAGUGGGGAAUAUUGCACAAUGGGCGCAAGCCUGAUGCAGCCAUGCCGCGUGUAUGAAGAAGGCCUUCGGGUUGUAAAGUACUUUCAGCGGGGAGGAAGGCAGUGAGGUUAAUAACCUUACUGAUUGACGUUACCCGCAGAAGAAGCACCGGCUAACUCCGUGCCAGCAGCCGCGGUAAU
rnacentral:rRNA from 2 species